rnacentral:rRNA from 1 species
GACGAACGCUGGCGGCGUGCUUAACACAUGCAAGUCGAACGGUAAGGCCCUUCGGGGUACACGAGUGGCGAACGGGUGAGUAACACGUGGGUGAUCUGCCCUGCACUUCGGGAUAAGCCUGGGAAACUGGGUCUAAUACCGGAUAGGACCACUGCCUGCAUGGGUGGUGGUGGAAAGCUUUUGCGGCGUGGGAUGGGCCCGCGGCCUAUCAGCUUGUUGGUGGGGUGAUGGCCUACCAAGGCGACGACGGGUAGCCGGCCUGAGAGGGUGUCCGGCCACACUGGGACUGAGAUACGGCCCAGACUCCUACGGGAGGCAGCAGUGGGGAAUAUUGCACCAUGGGCGCAAGCCUGAUGCAGCGACGCCGCGUGAGGGAUGACGGCCUUCGGGUUGUAAACCUCUUUCACCAGGGACGAAGCGCAAGUGACGGUACCUGGAGAAGAAGCACCGGCCAACUACGUGCCAGCCGCCGCUGUAA